rnacentral:rRNA from 1 species
AACUGGUAUGCAGAUACUGGUGCUUCACAUCACAUCACCGGCGAGCUGGACAAGUUGACGUUCAAGGAGAAGUACCAUGGACAUGAUCAAGUACAGACCGCAAGCGGUUCUGGUAUGAAAGUUGCUCAUAUUGGUCAUUCAAUCGUUAAAACCCCUAAAAAAAACUUGCAUCUAAACAAAGUUCUUCAUGUUCCUGAAGCCUCACAAAAUCUUCUUUUUGUUCAUCGAUUUACCUUAGAUAAUUGUGUCCUUAUUGAAUCUUACCCUUAUUUCUUUUUGGUAAAGGACUUGGACACGAGGAGAAUCCUUCUUAGGGGCAAGUGCGUGGGAGGUCUCUACCCACUUAUAUCUUUAUCAUCAUCAUCGAAUAAACAAGCGUUUGUCGCUAUCAAG